rnacentral:rRNA from 1 species
GACGAACGCUGGCGGCGUGCCUAAUACAUGCAAGUAGAACGCUGAAGAGAGGAGCUUGCUCUUCUUGGAUGAGUUGCGAACGGGUGAGUAACGCGUAGGUAACCUGCCUUGUAGCGGGGGAUAACUAUUGGAAACGAUAGCUAAUACCGCAUAACAAUGGAUGACACAUGUCAUUUAUUUGAAAGGGGCAAUUGCUCCACUACAAGAUGGACCUGCGUUGUAUUAGCUAGUAGGUGAGGUAAUGGCUCACCUAGGCGACGAUACAUAGCCGACCUGAGAGGGGGAUCGGCCACCCUGGGACUGGGACACGGCCCAGGCUCCUGCGGGAGGCAGCAGGAGGGAAUCUGCGGUAAUGGGGGCAACGCUGAACGAGGAACGCCGGGUGAGGGAAGAAGGGUGUCGGAUCGUAAAGCUCUGUUGUAAGUCAAGAGCGGGGGUGAGAGUGGAAAGUUCACACUGUGACGGUAGCUGAACAGAAAGGGACGGCUAACUACGUG